rnacentral:sRNA from 1 species
GGAGCCGGGGCCGGCCUGGGACCAUGGGCGGGAAUGCAAUCUACAGAUCAGGCUCUGAUGGUGGGUCAUUAACCUCAGUGGGGACUCCAGGAUUUCCAUGAAGAAAAUCAGUUGUCUUCAUUCAAGAAUUGGGGUCUGGCUCAGAAUUCCUGCAGCUGGUGAAAAUCUGUUUUCUAGAAGAGAUUUAAUUAAUGCCUGCAGUCUGCCCUGAGCUAUAGCCCCAGUCCCCUUUAACAUCCCCCAUUUUCCAAUGGAGGAAGCUCCCAGGGAGACAAGGUACCACUUGGAGAGCCCCCCUGGCCACUUCAGAUUGCAGCCAUUGCCACUUCAUCUCACUUGAGGUGCUGAGGGGAGAGUCUAGUUUACAGGGCAUCCUUUUGUCACCUGCUCGCCACCCCUUAUGCCCCUGGGUGUGACCAGCUUCCUUAGAAAGAGCUGUAAUCAAUAGCAUAUUGAUUAAAAAGCAUAUUAAGAUGAAAA